CAAGCCAGUUAGAAAUUACACAGGUAGGAGGUCUGAGGGCUCUAGAACUGGUUCCACCCCCACCCAGUGAACCGAACAGUUUCAUUUUCACAGCAAACUAGAAAGGAACUUUUUAAUAGCUUUCUUCAAAAGUCAUUAUACCAGACUAAAACUGAUAACAGACAGGAAAUCCCUGCUGCUUUGUUUAUUUAUUUGUUAGCUGAAAAGUGGGUUCUGAAUGGCAUUUUUUAAGUGGGAAGUGGCUGUAUUUCACAGGUGGGCUUUGCUUUUCCUUGGAUCAUUUCUAAGUCCAUUAGGCUCAAUUUUAUAAGACAUAUUUUGUUAGUAUUUCUUUGUCUCCAUUUCUUUAGUCAGACAUCUUCAUUAGCACCCAAAAUAAAAAUGACAACCCGAAGCCUUAUAAAAGCAGAUGUGCAACCAUACCCUAAGUAGCAGUUCCAUAUUACUUACUGAAGGGUUCCCAGUUGCUACAGGCUCUGAGAACUCAUCAUACUUACUCUGAAAAUUGUGCAUGCAGAUGGAAAAGUGUGAAAAACAGAAGGUGCCUUUUCCUCCAUCAACAACAUUCAAGAUAAAUGUUAAUACCUUGUCUAGAUUUGCACCAGGUGGAAAUCUGUCAUUUUGUUACACUGGCCGUAGGCCUGGCACAUAAGAUGUAGCUAUUUUCCAAAGCAACACACCUUUUGUUUUACUUUCACCUGUGCCUGGAUUCUUAAGACUCUAAAGUCUUUAUUGUAGGCUAUUAGAGCUGAGUGACUGUUGUCUUCUGUUACUGACAAUCAUAAAAAAAACAAAAAACAAAACAAAAAAAAAAACACCAACACAAAUCAAUAUCAAUAAAGUAAACAAUCUACUGUGCUGGCUGUACAUGAGAUUAGUUAAGCCUCUGAAAGGCCUGCAGCAAACAGGGUUAUAUACCCGCAAGAUCAUCCACGCUAACAGCCGAGAUAAAAAUGUUGCACCUAUGUCACACCAGAGCUAGUGAAGCAAAGAAGGUAUCGAAUCAGAAGAGGUGCUGAAAGAGUAUAAAGACCAACAGUGUAAAGGAUGGGACCGGGCAAGGAAUGGAAGAUUCAAAAAUACUGGCUGAAUUAAGAGCAAAUCUGGAUAUUCAGCUACUAAUUUAAAAACCCAUAUGCUUGUGACCUUUGCUUGUUCAUUUUACACACCGAUCUUGCAAGCCUUCUCUAAAGGAGAUAUGCUGCCUUUGAGUUAAGGGGUUUUUUUUGUGGGGAAGAGGGAGGAGCAGAAGAGAGAAAAAAUAAAAAGAAAUAAAUCAAAACAAAAGGAGCUCUUACUUUGGCUUGAAGAUUGGCUACCAAAUCUUGGACCGCACCCACCAAGAAGGACUCUUCAUCUCUUGCUCUUGAUCCUAAGAAUGAUGCAAUGCUGACUUCCCACACAACAGGGAAUGAAAUUAUGGCGUAACAACUUGCUUCUCACUCAGACUCGAGAACUGAGUGUUGCCUAGGUCACAAUAGAUGGACCGUUUCCUACUGUUCCUGCUCUUCCUCUCCCAUCUUUGGACAGCUGAUGAUCCACACCUGUGGAGAUUGGUUCUGCCAGCACUGGAGACUUACAGUCUUUUUUAGGAACCGCUGAAAGUUGGGUUUCUCAUGGUGCAAGAGCUCACAUAGGGUCUCCAGUUCCCAGAAGAGACCACUUGGGUUACGUGUUGUCUGCUUUACCUCUCAACAAGCAUUUGAAGGGGUGAGGAAGAGAAGGGAAGGCAGAGAGAGGGAAGGACUGCUGCUCUACAAGAAGGGUGGGAGAGAAUCAAAUUCCUGUGGGUACUUCUUUGCACACAGACUUACUUCCUGAUAUGGAAAAUCUCAAACAUGACCUUGAAUUCCCUGUAAGGUGUAUCCUGACUGUUGUUUAGUUUAGGAGAUUAAUUUUCUCAUACUAUUUCAUAUGCUACCAUGAUCUCUUUUCUCCUGUACAAUAUUCUCAUCUUUUUGUCUAUCUAGCAAAAUCUGGCUAUAUUGACUUACAGACUAUCUGAGUACAUAGAUUGCUCUAGAACUUUGUGCAAGCCUGUUGUCUACCAUUGGGUGUACGCCAUAGGAGGUCAAGACCCUACAGCCUUUUUAAGGGAUGUGACUGUUUAUAGGAUCUCUGGAGCAGUAUCUUCUCCACCUGCUUUUUCCAAGCAUGCUGCUACUCUUGGGGCUUCAAGAGGGAACACUCAGCAGAGCAGUCUCCUGUUGACUGACCUCUCAAAACACCCAGGAUCAACUUGGGUUUGUGAGUUGCUCACAGGAGCAAUGUUCUCCAGGGUGUGUUGUACCUGUGCCUAUUACCUACUUCUCAUGUCCCUCCACCUAAGAAUGGGUUGGAAAACUGGGGAUUCUGGGGUUCAGGUGGAUUUUUGCAAGUCACAGUCAACCUGUUUACAUCUCUACACGCAACCACAACAGAGCACAGUCAUGUUUGGUCCUGAUAAGAUACAAGCCUUGAGCUCUGAGUGCUCGUUUGCAUGCCUUCCUGCCAUGUGAAAGCAAGUUACUGCCUAAGAAAAUGCAAAUGCUUUGUACUGUAUGACAAAUACUGUAAAUCAGAAGUUGUGGUAAUUAUCUCACAUGAAGUCCUCUAAGAACGAACAAAAUACCGAUGGUCUAGUUAAAUGCUUAUGAAUCACUACCCAGUAAAAAAUGACACCACCUGUCACAUUUCAUGUACCUUCUUGGGAAAUGGGGAGAACGUACUGAACUGAGGCAGCUAGUGACUGUGUUGUACAGUGGUUAUUAUAUGACACCAGGAGAUGUAUUAUACUGCACAUUCCUUUCAGGCAGAGAAACACAGUAGAAACUGCACAGCAGACACAUCACUAGGAAAAGAAAUCUUUAAAAUGAUAGUUUAAGUAACAAAAACAUGCUUUUUUUUUUUUUUUUGCAUGCAGCAAGUAGAACACAAUUUAGAUAUCUUUCUUUAUAAAUUUAAUAAAUACAUGCAGAAAUUGCAUGUAGAUACACAGUAGUGACUAUUGCCUUAUUAAUAGAUUGUAAGGUGUAGGUAAGAAUGAACAAUCCAGGGGUGUUUUUAACAAUGUUUCUGAAACAAAGCAGUAAAUGAAAGGAAAGCAUUCAGGAACGUGAAUGAGCUGCCACUCCAGCUGGGAAUGUAGGCUUUGGCAUUGGCAUUUAUAGCCUAUGUAAGUAAUGUUUAUGCAAAAUCACACGACUCUAGGGUUGUGUGCUAAAUAGUCCAAAGAGAGUAAAAUGGAAUACAGUAUACACUGUGUUGUGCCUCUAUUAAGGCAUUUAACAGAAUAGAAGUCAGUAAGCAGAGGAGUAGUCCCACUAAGAUCUGAAUGAGCGAGCCUUUAAAAAUCUAUUCAAAACAUACCCUGUUCUGUUGCGUAUCAGGAAAUAUCAGAGAUUUUUUUUUCUCCAUCAGUUUGAUUUAUGUUAUUUUGAUAUUGCUCGGUAGUUUCAUUGAUGGCUGUAUUGGGCCUGGCUGAGAUGGAAUUAAUUUUCCCCACAGCAGCCCUCACAGCGCUGUGCUUCGUGUCGGCAUCUGGAGAGGUGCUGGUAACACCCCGGUGCAUUGGCUACUGCUGAGCAGCGCUCGCGCGGCAUCAGGGCUGUCUCUCCAGCAUCCCCCCUCACCGGCAGGCUGGGGGUGGGCGAGAUAUUGGGAAGGGACACAGCCAGGACAGCUGACCCAAACUGACCAAAGGGAUGUUCCACACCAUAUGACGUCUGCUCAGCAAUACAAACUAAGGGAAAGAGGCUGGAGAGUGAGGGGGAGCAUUCAUCAUUACAAGGUUUGUCUUCCAUGUCAACUGCUAGGUGUACUGAAGCCCUGCAUCCUGGGAAGUGGCUGGGCACCUCCUGCUGAUGGGAAGCAGAGAAUAAAUCUUUUGUUUUCCUUUGCUUCCAUGUGCAGCCUUUGCUUUUGCUUUGUUAAACUGUGUUUAUCUUGACCCAAGAGGUUUUUUCCAUCUUAUUCUCCCCACCUCUAUUCUGCCAAGGACAGGAGUGGUAGAGCAGCUGGGUGUGCGCCUGGCAUCCAGCCACAGUCAACCCACCACUGAUGGCACAAUAGGAUUUAGAAGACUGAAAUGAUGUAACAGAAUGGGAAGGAAACUUUCAAACACCAAUCUUAUAAAGCAAGAAAUAGCAGGUAUUUUGCACAAAAACAGUUUUGAGAAAAUGCUGUUGUAUAAUAAUCAAUAUUAACCAAUUUUACUGUCUUUGGAAAAUUACUUUUUUCCCCAGCUGGUCUGUACAUGAGGCUUCUAAACCUAUCUGUCAAAGUUCAUUCAGAUCAGCUAAAACAUAAACUGAUAUAUAAAUAAAACACAGUUUGAGGUUCUACCAGUUCUGUGUCUCAUUGUGUGAAUCUUGUCUGACUGAGAGACGUCAUGUGUCAGCACAGUCAUGUUUAUUCAGAUGAGUGACUUGCUUCUACCAACAAGAAACUUGUAACUGCUUUGUUGUUGACGGUUGUAUUUGUAAGGGCAUGAUGAAUAAGCUUCACAUGUUUCUAUUAAUACAAAAUUGGCUGUCAUUGAUAUCAAUAUUUGCUGUUCAAUAAAGUGAGAAAUAAUUUAGAUAACCACUUGAAAAUCAGUAGAAAGUUCUCAAAUAUACAUUGAAGUAUAGAUUUGGUUUUAAAAAUUCUCAGUUGUACAGUGCUCAUUUCUGUCAGGACAUGAACAGCUUGCUUGUUUUCUCAUUAUUUGCCAAUUGCAGUGGAAAU